UACGGAGGGUGCGAGCGUUGUCCGGAAUCAUUGGGCGUAAAGGGCGCGUAGGUGGCCCGGUCAGUCGAUGGUGAAAGCGCGGGGCUCAACUCCGCGUCGGCCGUCGAUACUGCUGGGCUUGAGCACUGUAGAGGCAGGCGGAAUUCCGGGUGUAGCGGUGGAAUGCGUAGAGAUCCGGAAGAACACCGGUGGCGAAGGCGGCCUGCUGGGCAGUAGCUGACACUGAGGCGCGACAGCGUGGGGAGCAAACAGG
rnacentral:rRNA from 1 species